UGCCUGUGCUUUAACUUUUCGUCUGUUUCUCGAAAAUUUUUAUGCGAUGUUUAAGUUCUGAUAGCCUCGAAAACUUCCAUCACUCAGAGGUCACUCCAGCACCUUCCGAGCCUUUUAUAUUGUUACGUUCUUUGUAACUUUUGUUUAUUGUCGCAAAAAGGAUAUCUGUCGUUCGUGUGCCUCUUUGUUGCGUUUUCUUUAUUAUGGGUGUUUGGCUGUGCUACUGUUUCGUGGAGCUCUAUUUGCAAGGUGGUUUAGUUUUUAACAUGCUAAAUUUCUUGUUUUUUUAAUACUUUCGGUGUUUAAUAAAGAACUCUAUUUCGUGGUAAGCUUCGUCUAAUGACAUUUUUCCGGAUUGCUCUUUCGAUUUUGUUUGCAUAAAGGGAUUAUGGUAGAGGAUCAUGAACCUGAGUGGCUUGUAGAUUUGCAUUGGUCCUUCACGAAUUUUAAAAAAAAAUGUCUGUUGACAAUCUUUGUGUAAGAGCCUAUUUUUUAUAAAAAUUGUGUUAUUUACGGCCUCGUCCUAGUACUUCUUUUCGAGCCCUGCUACUUUGGCUCUAGCUCACUUGGCUCGCUUUCGCUUCUGUGUUAUUUCAGUCUAUAGUACUAGUACUGUUUUCUAGUAUCUACCUGACUGAUCUAGCUUGUCUAUGGUAUGGGUACUCUUUUCUGGUACCUGUGCCUAAAAUACUAGCGUGGUUACUAUACUAUGGUAGAUACUAGGUACUAGUACUAUAUAUAUAAGCGCGCGCGCCCUUUGUUUUAGAAUACACUUUCUCAUGUUGGAAAGUCUUAGUAUUGCUUGUCGGCUGAACAUAUUUUUGCGUGUAGUAUAUAUUUGAAUUUUUAUGUUUAACAUACCAUUUAAACGCCCCCAACAGGUAAAUUCAAUUACAUUGUCCACCCUGAAUGAAGACAGUAUGGAUGUUAUUUUUUUUUGUUCUUUAGUUCUCUUUUGGUUUAGGAGGGAAUAAGGGUUAAGCUUUAAAGAUGUGCUAUGCAUGUUAACUGGAGUAUAUCAGUGACAAAUAUUUAAAUAAAUAAGAAAAUUGUUUAAAUAGUCUUCCACUCUAUAAAUAGCUACUUGGUCUAUACUUUUGUUUUUAAAAAUAUAUAUAAAUACCUUCAAUGUUUUAGCAUUAGUAUUAGAUCCCUUGUAUUGCCGGCAAUGUAAAGUACUUCGUCCUUCCUGAGGACUCAAAGCGCUCUGUCAUCACCACCGCACACUGCUACGGACCUAUUUGCGCUGCAAGCGGGGGUUACCAUACUCUUUUCUGGUACGAACAUAGGAAGGCACUCGCUACAAUGACGUAUAACCGCGAAAUGUGGGAUAAAAUUUCAACAUCAGGUGCACUACUAACCAGAAGUUUAUUAUAUUUAUAGUCUAGUAUUAUUGUAAAUCUUUUGCAUCUCUAAGAACUAGUCAUUAAAGGUGGAUUACAUAUAAAGAUUUCGUAAAGAAAGUAAUUAACAAAAGCCAAUACUUUCGGAG